CGCCCAAGGAACCUUGCCAGAUCGGAAAGACGGACUAAAAUGCUCCCUUAAGUGACACAAUGGACGCAUAAAGUUUCUCAGGAGAGCAGGCCAUGACAACACUGAACGUCAUCCCGCAAUCUCUGAAGAGAACCUGACAAUACUGAGGAACUCAGAGGCAAUGAACCCAAACACACCAUGGGGCCUGGUGAAUAAAGUGUGGUUCAACAUCCGGCUACAUUUCGGGAGGAGAGGAAAAGAGGGUCUGAGGAAACUUACACCACAAUCUUUCAUAAUAAAAUGAGAUUCAACAGGUACCAAAUAUGUGACACUCACUUUCAACGAGGAAACAAAAAACCACAAAAACCAUCAUGAAAGGGAUCGCCAGAGCAGAAGAGGGGCUAUGUUUGAAGACCCCGGAAAUUAACUUUGCCCAGUUUCAUCAUUUGAAAAGUACUUAUCUAAAAUUCCUCAAGAGGCUAAAGCUUUUUACCUCCAUCCAAAAAGAGGAGAAAAAUUAGGGGAAGUGUGGUAGUCUUUGGAGCCAAAGGGUUUAAAUUACCCGGGUUCUAUGCUCACACGUAUCUGUAAAGAGGCAGGCACAUCAGUGAUUUACACAAAUCACAGUAUCAGGAGCACUACCAUCCAGAAACUGGCCGAGGGCAGACUGGAAGUGAGGGAAAUCAUGUCCAUAAGUCAGAGAGCUCCCUAUACAGCUACUGGGCACCUUCUCUGGAUAACAGAACAUGGUGGAGCAACAUGCUGUGUGCCAGUCAUGGAAACAUCAGGCCCUCGGAGGACAGAGCCUCAAACAGCUCUAUGGCAUCACCUGCUAAACUGCAGAGAUCCAGCAUGGACUUUAUUGACAGCUGUUUCAGCAACUGUACUUUUAAUGCCAAUAUGCAAUUCAAUAUCUAAAAA